rnacentral:rRNA from 1 species
GAGCUUCUGAUUUGCUUAUUGCACCACAUGUGUUUUUCUUUGAAACAAACUUGCUUUGGCGGUGGGCCCAGCCUGCCGCCAGAGGUCUAAACUUACAACCAAUUUUUUAUCAACUUGUCACACCAGAUUAUUACUAAUAGUCAAAACUUUCAACAACGGAUCUCUUGGUUCUCGCAUCGAUGAAGAACGCAGCGAAAUGCGAUACGUAAUAUGAAUUGCAGAUAUUCGUGAAUCAUCGAAUCUUUGAACGCACAUUGCGCCCUCUGGUAUUCCGGAGGGCAUGCCUGUUUGAGCGUCGUUUCUCCCUCAAACCGCUGGGUUUGGUGUUGAGCAAUACGACUUGGGUUUGCUUGAAAGACGGUAGUGGUAAGGCGGGAUCGCUUUGACAAUGGCUUAGGUCUAACCAAAAACAUUGUUUGCGGCGGUAACGUCCACCACGUAUAUCUUCAAACUUUGACCUCAAAUCAGGUAGGACUACCCGCUGAACUUAAGCAUAUCAAUAAGCGGAGGAA